UCUAAUGUUUUUGCCAUAUUUUAUCGAUAUUUUUAAAAUAGUAUUUAAAAGUAUUUUGUAUAAUUGAAAAUGUAAAUAGUUACUAAUUAUUGUUACUUUCUUUAGAUUGCUAUCUCUGUUCUAAGGAUUUGUUAGACUCAUAAACAUGUCUUAAUAGAUCUUGCUUUGUGCACUAGUAUCAGAAAAAGAUGUUCUUCAGACGGUACCUACAAAGUUAGAGGAAAAAAAGAUGAAUAAUUAAGAUUAACGAAGAAGUGUGUCUCAACUCUUAAUACUUUUGUUCCCAAAAUGCAGGAUGUCAUAUAUUUGCGCAAUGUAUUCAUAUACCGCUCUCCAUGUGUCCCCCUGCGUUGGUAUGUCUCGUUAAAAUGCUGUUUCCUGCUGUUGAACUGUGAUUAUUGCCACGCAUCUUGAACUUCUCUUGGCCGCUGAGGCUAACCUCUCGUUUCGGCAGGCUUGUGCCACCGGUGUAUCCGCUUGUAACUGUGUUAACAUCCGUGUCUAUAGUGGCUUCUGAUUUGCAGUAAAACCUGUGGAGGCCCUUGCGGAAAUGAAUUGUGAAGAGGCCGUAGAUGAGCGGGUCCAGGCAGGCGUUGACCAGCCCAAAGAUGAACAGGAGGUGGGUCAGCGAGUGGGAGACCUUCCCUUCCAGGUCAUCUGGAAGGAACCAGUACCAAAGACCCAGCAGGGUUCUCAUGCGAGCUCUUGGGAUGUUGUUUUUGGAGCAGCGCAAAUGCACCUCACCGGAAGAUCCUGGCAGGGAGAAAAAAACUCAAUGAAUUCAACUUGACUUAGAAAUAAUUGCUGAUAGAACUCACUGUUGUUCUUUUUCAGACGCUUGGAGAUCUCAAAGAGGAUCCUGGUGUAGCACGUGAUCAUGAUGGCCAGCGGCAGCAGGAACUGGCAAGAGAAGCCGGCGAGCUCACCUGAGGGACAGACAGCAAGACGCUCGUGGUCCAUGCCGCCGUCAGCAUGACCGUGUUCCUCUUCCUGGCUUUGUUGAUGGCCAGCGGGUUCAGAAUGGCUGACUGGCGGUCCAGACUGAUCACCACGGUGACGAAGGCGCCGGAGUACAUGGCUUGGAGCUUGAGGAACAUCAGCACCCUGCAGGCCACAUCUCCCGCCAACCACUGCACUGUGAUGUUCCACACGGCGUCCACCGGCAUCACGAUGAAAGUGACCAGCAGGUCCGCCAACGUCAGGUUGAUGAUCAGCACCCUGACGUGGGACUUCCGCUUGCCAUCCGCGUAGGCCGCCCGCAGCACGGCCAGGUUGCAGAAGGCCGACACACCGCACAGGAUGAAGGUGAUGAUCACUCGGACUUUGGCGGCCGUGGUGAAAGUGGGCAGCUGCAGGUGGUCAUCCAGGCACAGCCAGGAGGAGACAUUGCAGCUGGUGUUGACAAGCUGUAGGUCUGCGCUCAGUUGAUGCAUGCUAGUGCCCAUUUUCCUGGAGAGGGGGCAUUCUGCUCAUGCGUGAAGGUCAGUGCUAGUCCCACAAUGACAUCAAAAACAUCCAUGACUCACAAGCUGUGCACUACAUGCAAAUCAUCUUUUGUCAUUUACCACAACUACAAAAGCUUCAUCAAUUACUCAUACGGACACCAUAUUUGCUGAGGGGGUAGGACAGCAUGGUUACAAUUUUAGCUCAUACAUACAUUAAAGGUCUCAGAGGUCCCACAAUGGUAUUGGAAGUUCCUUGUCCAAAAUCUAGUCUUGAUGCAGGAACGUUUUAAAGUGCUUUAUGGUUAGCCUUGUGGGAAUACGUCAUUAUGUGUCUGUAGCUUUAAUGCUAAUGAGCUGAGUUGUCCCCAUCUAAGGGCCUGAUUUACUAGAGGUUUGCAUGUACUAAAAACACAUGCAAACUUGAUAGCGCAUGUGCAAAUUGAUACAUCAACACUGUCUCACCAACAUUUUACAAGCACUUUUUUGCUUUUUAUUUAGCUCAUGUCAGAACAACAUGCAAACCGACAUUUCCAAACACAGAUGAAGGAUCGGUGCUCGCGCUGCACGAUGGACAGACAAGAAUCUUGCAUCCUGUGUGCGUGUGUGAACAAUUUGGAUGGCCAGAAGUAAAAAAUAGUAGCUAUAUUGUCCUUUUAGUGUUUUGGUGUCUGCUGGUGUUUUUUUUUUUUUUUUAUGUUGUUGGGUUUUUUUUAAUUUAGGAAAUAUAUUACAAUAAUAUAUCUCCAAAAGGUAAAUGUCUUUCAUUGUGCUUUUUUUUUUUAUUAUUUGAGUCAUUCUAGCGCACAAAUGCGCUGGUGAUGCGAUCCACACCAGAGCACACAGAAGUAAGUGUCUGUCUGCAUAUGUUUCUGUUGUUUAGAUUGCGAUUCAGAAAAGGUGUUACAGAUUACAGAUGUGCGCCGCUGGUUUGCCACAUGGCACGCAGGUAAGAGCAUGAUAACAUGGAUGUGCAGAAAAUUAUCAAUUGUCUCCGGAGUUAAAGCCCUGUGUGGACGCAAAAUCCUCAUUUAAGUAGAGUUAAUAGAUCAUGCACAACAAGCCAACUAAUAGAACUUGCAAUUUUAUAUUUUGCGCACGCUGUCUAGCACAAAGUAUUUGGAUCUUAGACAAUCAGGCCCGAAGCGUGUGGCUACCAGAAACGCUAUCGUACAGGGCUUUUCAUGUAUGCACUAUGGGCCUGAUCUACUUAAGGUUUGUAUGUACUAAAACAUUUGCAAACUUGAUCGCACACGCAAAGCUGAUCUACUAAACUUGUGUGCAGAUUGCGUCUCUUAAGUGAGCAGAACAAGGGGCACAAUCUAUUUAGCGUGUCUGUUUUUAAUGAAUAUGUAGAAUAUAUAUGCUGCUCAUCAGAACACCCACAGUACUGACAGGAGAAACUGCUAUUAUAAUUAUUCUGCACAGGCAGAUUCAUUUAUCAAUAAUAAAACUCAACUGCGAGCACUAUUUUGCAUCUUUAUUUAGCACUUCUGAAAAGUAUGUUCAAACUGACAUCGUUACGCACACGCCUGUGAGAAAGGAGGCGAUUGCAUAGCAGCCUAUACUAUGUAUGCUUGCCAACAUAUUUGGACUGUCAAAAAUAAAAAUAUCAGACAUAUUGUCUACACCAAUAUCAUUUUAUAAUUUCAUAACUGCUGGAUGAAUUAAGGGGCUAAUUAAAACAAAUUAAAUUGAUGUGUUUUUGUGUCUUCUGGUGUAAAGCCGCUACUCCUCCACAUUGAGAGGAGCCAGAUAAGGUGGUCCGGGCGUCUGGUCAAAAUGCCCUCCAAACGCCUCCCUGGGGAGGUGUUUAGGGUGCGUCCAACCAGUAGGAGAUCACGGGGAAGACCCAGGACACGGUGGAGAGACUUUGCUCCCUAGAUGUCCUGGAAACGCUUUGGGAUUACCCUGGGAAGAGCUGGACGAAAUAGCUGGGGCGAGGGAAGUUUGUGCUUCUCUGCUUAGGCUGCUGCCUCCACGACCCGUCUUCGGAUAAGCGGAAGAAGAUGAAUGAAUGGAUGGCGUUUUUUUAAAUAUCGUUCCUUUUUUCAUUUAGAACAUUUACCAUCAAUAUACCUCCUAUGUAAAAAAAACUUCUUGCAAAAUGCAUUUUCUUUUCCGCCAUUAGUGCCGCAGCCUUUCCCAUGAGCGCACCGUCAGUGCACAAAAAAAUGUUUUCAAUAUAUAUGCACCGCAGGACUGCUUUUAAAA